UUUCCUCCGCCGCCGCCGCCUCCUCCUCCGCUCCGCGCGGCCGUCUCCCACCUCUCGCGCCUCACCUCCUCCUCCUCCUAAACCCUCGCUAAACCCUAGCCUCCCACCCCCCCACCCCACCGGGGAGCAUGCACUCCAGGCUCCUCAGCGCCCCCUCCCACGCCUCCGCCGCCUCCUCCUCCCCCCUCCCCUUCGCCGCCGCCCACCCUUGCCGCGCCUCCUGGACGCCGCGGCCCACCUCCCCGCUGCCGCCUCUAUCGCUGCUGCGCGCCACCGCCUCCAUGCAUCCUUCUCCUCCUCCCGAGGGGCAUAGCGACCAGCCUGUGCAUGGCGUCACCAACACGGUCGUCGGCGUGCUGGGGGGAGGCCAGCUGGGGAAGAUGCUGUGCCAGGCGGCCAGCCAGAUGGGGGUCAGGAUGGCCAUACUUGAUCCCCUCGAGGACUGCCCGGCGAGCUCGGUUUGCCACGAGCAUGUCGUCGGGAGCUUCAAUGAUGGCGCCACGGUUAGCGAGUUCGCAAAGAGGUGCGGGGUUUUGACGGUGGAAAUUGAGCAUGUCGACGCUGUAACACUCGAGAAGCUUGAGAAACAGGGCAUCGAUUGUGAGCCCAAAGCCUCCACCAUCAUGAUUAUUCAAGACAAGUACAGGCAGAAAACUCAUUUCUCAAAAUUUGGAAUUCCGUUACCUGACUUUGUGGAAGUAGAUACUUUAAGUAGCAUAGAGAAAGCUGGGGAAAUGUUUGGUUAUCCUCUAAUGGUCAAAAGCAAGAGAUUAGCAUAUGAUGGCCGUGGAAAUGCUGUUGCUCACGACAAAAAAGAGCUAUCUUCUGUUGUUGCUUCUCUUGGUGGGUUUGAGCAUGGCUUGUAUGUUGAGAGGUGGACAUCUUUUGUAAAGGAGCUUUCUGUCAUUGUGGCAAGGAGCAGAGACGGUUCUACGGUGUGCUAUCCUGUUGUUGAAACCAUCCACAAGGAUAACAUCUGCCAUGUUGUUGAGGCUCCUGCCGAGGUGCCUGAUAAAAUAAAGAAGUUGGCUACUAAUGUAGCUGAAAAGGCUAUCAAAUCAUUGGAAGGUGCUGGUGUUUUCGCUGUAGAAUUAUUUUUAACACAAGAUAAUCAGGUUUUAUUGAAUGAAGUAGCUCCAAGGCCUCACAACAGUGGGCAUCACACAAUUGAGUCAUGUUAUACCUCGCAAUAUGAGCAACAUUUACGUGCUAUUCUUGGCCUUCCUCUUGGUGAUCCUUCAAUGAAAGCGCCUGCAUCAAUAAUGUACAACAUCCUGGGUGAGGAUGAGGGUGAGGCAGGAUUUACUCAAGCUCAUCAGUUGAUUGAGAGAGCUUUGGACAUUUCAGGUGCAUCUGUCCAUUGGUAUGCAAAACCAGAAAUACGGAAGCAGAGAAAGAUGGGCCAUAUUACAAUUGUGGGGCCUUCAAAGUACAGUGUAAAAGCACGCUUAGAUAAGUUGCUGCAAAGAGACGCAUAUGACCCCAAGAAAGUUGCAGUUAAACCUCGUGCUGCAAUAAUAAUGGGUUCUGAUUCUGAUCUUCCUGUCAUGAAAGAUGCUGCAGUAGUAUUGAAGAAAUUCAACAUACCUUUUGAGCUUACAAUUGUUUCGGCUCAUCGUACACCAGAGAGGAUGUACCAUUAUGCAUUAUCUACUAAAGAAAGAGGCUUAGAGGUCAUAAUUGCAGGUGCAGGUGGAGCGGCUCACUUACCAGGGAUGGUGGCUUCAUUGACUUCUGUCCCAGUAAUAGGAGUACCCAUCAUGACUUCAUCUUUACAUGGAACUGAUUCCCUCCUAUCUAUUGUCCAGAUGCCGAAAGGUAUUCCUGUUGCUACUGUUGCAAUUGGAAAUGCGGAAAAUGCAGGUUUAUUGGCAGUUAGGAUGCUGGCCUCAAGAGAUCCUGAGUUGGGGGACAAGGCAACUGAAUACCAGCAUGAUCUGAGGGAUAUGGUGUUGGAGAAAGCAAAAAGGCUCGAGGAACUAGGUUGGGAGGAAUAUACCGAGCUAUACUUGAAGAAGCAUUGAUCUCUGCUGCCCGUUUAAUUGACAUUCUUUUUGAUCCAGUGUUGACAUAAGCAGAUAUGGUCCAUGUGGAGGCCUGGAGAGGGCGUGCCGACUUACGAAGUGAAAGAUGUCGACGAAACACGGCGCAUGAGCAUCUCAGUAGCAGAAAGCUUUGCUUGUAUAACUGUAACAACAUGCCUGCCUGAAAUGUUCAUGUGGAUCUUAUGAUGAUAUUUCAGGGAAAAAAAUCAACCAAUUUUAACGAGUUCUGAAAAAAAAAAGAAUUGAGUCCCUAAAGUA